AUUGAACGCUGGCGGCAGGCCUAACACAUGCAAGUCGAGCGGAUGAAGGGAGCUUGCUCCUGGAUUCAGCGGCGGACGGGUGAGUAAUGCCUAGGAAUCUGCCUGGUAGUGGGGGAUAACGUCCGGAAACGGGCGCUAAUACCGCAUACGUCCUGAGGGAGAAAGUGGGGGAUCUUCGGACCUCACGCUAUCAGAUGAGCCUAGGUCGGAUUAGCUAGUUGGUGGGGUAAAGGCCUACCAAGGCGACGAUCCGUAACUGGGCUGAGAGGAUGAUCAGCCACACUGGAAGUGAGAGACGGUCCAGACUCGUACGGGAGGCAGCAGUGGGGAAUAGUGGACGAUGGGCGAAAGCCUGAUCCAGCCAUGCCGCGUGUGUGAAGAAGGUCUUCGGAUUGUAAAGCACUUUAAGGUGGGAGGAAGGGCAGUAAGUGAAUACCUUGCUGUUUUGACGUUACCAACAGAAUAAGCACCGGCUAAUUUCGUG
rnacentral:rRNA from 1 species